ensembl:lncRNA
CUGGAACACCAGUAGCUCUCUUUCCUCCCAGAGAUGCAACAGGGAAUAUAAUUUAAUUUGAUUAAUUCAUAGCCUGUAUGUCCUCUUUCCUAUUUUUAUAUGUACAUAUUUUUCCCUUUUCUAUCCCCCUUACUUUCUUUUGGCACUUGCAUUUAUCAGCUAUUUGAGAACAAUUCCAAUGCUUUUAGCAGGAAGCGGUGAGCAGCAAGAGAACUACCAGAACAUUGGUACCUUGACUUCUGAUGUGUGAUGGAGGGAAACGUUUGGAUCUUCUCAGGAGGAUGCAAAUGAAAGCAUGAAGACUUCAGACAUCACAGAGGCUCAGAAAAAACUCAGAAAAAGACAGAGAAUGAGAGAACAGAAGAAGUUGAAGCAGCAGAAUCUUCUUCUAUGAGAUAUUCUUUUUGAAAUUUAUGCAAAGAGAAUGCAGCUUUGUAAAGGGAGCUGAGCAUAAUCCCAAACACUGAUGAGAAUGCUUGGACAAUGAAGUAGCCAGAAGACAAGAGAAAUCUUCAGCCCUCACUGUAAUAGAUUCUCAGGAUAAUGUACCAUCUGAAAGCUGUUGCCCAAAACACACAGAACAAGACCUUCAAUGCUCACAUCCUAUCCCAUUUGUAGAUAACAGCAGCCACCAUCGCAAAAUUAGAGUGACCUUUUCUCAGUCUUCUGUUUGAGAAGGAAACUGCUCAUUACAACUCUGAAGAGGUUAAUAACCUGCAAAUAUUUUCCAAGCUAAAAGCAGAUAUAUUGUAUUUCUGGACUCUACGAACAGCAUCUUGUCUACAUUUGUAUAUUGUGUUGAUGCCCCCAUUAUUGUCAGUAGGCAUAUAGAGUUUGAUUCUGCUGUGAUUUCAUAGGUGUCCAGUGAUAGUGGAGAUCCCCUUGGAUGUCCGAUUCAUCCACACUGCGACUCACGGCUAGACCCAAGGGACCAAGAGAAAACCCAAAAGGCCAGGAUACAUUCAAAAGACUACCUGAUGCUUAUAGUUCUGUCACUGAACCAAGACUCAAAGAGUCAAGAGAGCUACUCAUGUGACCCUAAUGUACUGGCCUCCGCCUAGUGACUAGAACAGCUCUUUAGGCUCUGUUAUAAUGACUGUAAUGAACAUUCGAGGCACUGCGCAUACGUAGAUAUCUGCAUUUAGAAAAUUACGUUUGUGUAAUUAUUUAAUCUACAAAAAUGAGUUCCAGCUAUACAGAGGAAUAACCCAACAUAAAGUAUCCUGUAAUACAUGUUUUUAAUAAGAACCAUUGACUACUGUUUGAAAGAAAGAGGUCUCUGCUUGUUCAAGAAAUGCUUUUUCAUAUAAGGCUCACUAUGAAUAGUACUCGCAUAAUCUUUUGGCAGUAGGAUUAGAGUCAUUACCAAGUUAUUUAACUGCUGCCCAGAUGGAGAUCAUUCAUCUAUGAAGCAGCUUACCAAGUAUCUAAGAGGUUGCUGAGAUAAUCCACACUGAUUAUACACCAAUGGUUCCUCACUGCAGUAGAAAAAUGGAUAUAAUGAUAUGCAUAUAAAAAUUUUACAUCUUACAAUUUCCUUCCUGCUCCUUCUUGCAAUAGAUAAAUUUGCUUUUUGUACAGAUGAACAUUUCAGAAUCUAAUCUUUUAAGCUCUAAAAGAAUAGAAGUCGUUUUUGAACUUAUUAUUGGAUUUGAGCCAGUGGGUAGAGAAAAUUCUGACAAGUUCCCUCCCAGUAGCUUGCAGUACUGUGGGAGCUAAAGUUCUUAAGAUACUUAACUACAAGAAAUUUAACCUCCCAGGCAGUUCUUACUUUAAAUUAGUCAAAGCUCACUAUAAUUUCAAUUAGUACUCUUGAAUUCUGCAGACACACUAAAUUCUGGGAAAUAUGAUCAGGAAGUAACUUAGGAUAAUUCGAUGAUGAUAUAACUCAUCAUAUCAUUUAACAUGUACAUUGAUUAGUAAUGUCCAUAGAACCUCAGCAAUUAUUUCACAUCUGUGGCUGUUAUGAUAUAGUGCAGUCUUGGAGAAAUGAAGGUGCAUGGGACUGUCAUAUGUGAAUAACUCAUUAGUAUCAGUCAUUGUAUCUGAUAGUGUAGCUACAAUAUGUUUGUCUGCCUUAGCAGAAUCUAUAAAGUUGAGCAGUUUGUGUUCUUUAUGGAUCCAUUUUGGAAAAUAUCUUUCUGCCUUUCUUCAGGAAGAGAAAUAC